CCACCAAGGCCCAAAGUCAACCAAGGCCCAAGGGUCUAGAACUCUCUACAUAUUAUCCAUUCACUAGAACUUUCUAGGACUCACCACUUGGGUCCCUUAGUGUUUUGCCACUUGUAAUAGAAUUCUCUAGAAUUAGGCAUUCCACCCCCUAUAAUAUAUGGGUGAACACCCAUCAUUCACACAGCCACCAACACACCCACACAACACACCUAGCACACUAGCUCUCAAGCUCUCUUGUACAAACACUCUUGUAAUUAUUCAAAGUGUAAUACAAUCAUCUUUGGCCAUUCCACUCUUACUUCCCUUAACAUUUUCUCCAAGUGUGUGUGCUUGGCUUGUUUAGGGAGUAAUCUAGGCUUACUUGGCGACUCACACGCUAAGGUCGCUCAAGUGCCGCACGGGAACUUGCUGCGCAAAACUAUCACCCCGUGACAAGUGGUAUCAGAGCUACGGUUUGCACCCACGCGUAAACUAGCUCAUAGACGAUGGCCAAUCCUUCCAGCACAUUGCAAGAGGACGCACUCGGUGCGGAGGUACAGGAGCAAGCUCGUGGCCGCGAGGAGGGAGGACGCGGACAGCCAAAGUCCCGAGGUAAGUCCAAAGCCCCUUCUAUGGAUGCAUUGGAACCUCGUGUUGCCACGCUCGAAACGUCAAUGGCCGCUGUCCAAGACACCCUCGAUACAUUAGAGGAGCGAGUCGAUGGCCUUGAGGGUGAAUAUGGCGAAUUCACAGUAGCCACCAAAGCCCUCAUGCAAGACCAAGCCGACUCCCUCCGAGGGGAGUUUCGAGCGUUCCAUGACGAGCUGCUCAGUUUGCGUACCUUUGUGCAAAAUGAGUUGCGUGCAGUCCGUACGGAGGUUGACGAGGUCCGCUCGGAUUGGGCUUGGCACAAGCGCACACUCACGCCUAGCCCGGCUGCGGUUCCCGCAAGCUCGAGUGAUGCGCGCCGCAUUGACGUGCCCAAGCCCGAUACUUACGAUGGUGCGCGCAACGCCAUUGUGGGGGAUAACUUCCUGUUUGGGCUAGAACAAUAUUUUGACGCGAUGGGUGUCCGAGAUGAUGCGUCAAAGGUAGGCACCGCGCCUACAUUCCUCCGAGGCUCCGCGCAACUAUGGUGGCGGCGGAAACACGGUGAGAUGGGCAAGGGCAUUUGCGCCAUCAGCACAUGAGCCGAAUUUCAGCAGGAACUUCGCAAGCAUUUUGCCCCAACCAAUGCGGAGAAGGAAGCACGAGCGCGGUUACGUCGGCUCAAGCAAACGGGUAGCGUCCGCGAUUACAUCAACGACUUCACCACCCUUAUGCUUGAGAUUUCCGACAUGUCCGAUAAGGACUCUCUCUUCUACUUUCAAGACGGCCUUAAAGAUUGGGCCAAGACGGAGCUUGAUAGGCGUGGCGUGCAAACUCUCGACGACGCCAUUGCCAUUGCGGAAUCACUCUCUGAUUACUCCGCCCAGCCCAAAGACAAGAGGCCUAGCCAUGGCAAAGGUGGGGGAGAGGGUCGAAAGGACAAAGGCCGCAACUGCAAGGAAUGGGGACAGAAAAAGCCUCCAAGCGGCAAGAGCGGGCAAGGCAAGACAGAAAAACAGCAGCCGCCAAAGCCUCGAAGCCCAUGUUUCAUUUGCAAUGGCCCUCAUUGGGUGCGCGACUGUCCGGAAAAAAAGUCGCUUAGCACCCUCGCCGCUCAGCUCAAGGGCGACUCUCCAUCGACACCGGAAGAACCCCAACCUAGAGUGGGUUCCCUCAAACGCCUUGGAGCGCUUGAAAGCCAUCCGCCCACAGCCAUGAGGAAAGGGCUCAUGUAUGUGAACGCCACAGUUAAUGGGCAAGCUGUUCGGGCAUUGCUCGACACCGGAGCCACCCACAACUUCAUCUCGGAAGAAGAGGCUAAGCACCUAGGCCUAAAGGUGACAAAGGACGGAGGCACAAUGAAGGCAGUAAACUCACCCGCCAAGCCCAUUGCGGGCACCGCACAAGGAGUGCGUGUUAUUCUUGGAAUGUGGAGCGGAAAGCUCAACUUCUCAAGGAGACGCCACGUCGAGUACAAGGAAGGCGACCAAGUGAUGGUGAAGCUCCUACCCCAACAGUUCAAGACGUUGCGGAAAGUCCACAAAGGGUUAGUGAGGCGAUAUGAAGGGCCUUUCGAAGUAGUUCAACGCGUGGGCAAGGUCUCCUACCAACUCCAACUUCCACCAAGACUCAAGAUCCACCCGGUCAUCCACGUGAGCUUGCUCAAGCCAUACCACGGAGACGCGGGAGAUCCAAGCCGAGGCAAGUCAAGGCGUGCCACAACCGCCGUUGUCACCGCUAUUGACAAGGACAUAGAGUACAUUCUUGCGGAUCGAGUAAUUCGAAGACGGGGCAUACCGGCUUACUACGAGUACUUGGUGAAAUGGAAGAACCUCCCCGAGAGCGAAGCAACAUGGGAGCGCGAAGACGAUCUAUGGCAAUUCGCAGAACAUGUGCAGCUCUACAAACACAACAACGCGACGAGGACGCCGCGAACAUAGGUGGGGGAGGAUUGUCACGGGCUCGCUUGGCACUCAAGGUGGAUACACUUAGAAGUGGGGGUUAACUUAGAAAUUGGGCCACCAAGACAACUAACUAGCUGGGGUGCACUUAGCAAAACCCCCACCAAGGCCCAAAGUCAACCAAGGCCCAAGGGUCUAGAACUCUCUACAUAUUAUCCAUUCACUAGAACUUUCUAGGACUCACCACUUGGGUCCCUUAGUAUUUUGCCACUUGUAAUAGAAUUCUCUAGAAUUAGGCAUUCCACCCCCUAUAAAUAUGGGUGAACAUCCAUCAUUCACACAGCCACCAACACACCCACACAACACACCUAGCACACUAGCUCUCAAGCUCUCUUGUACAAACACUCUUGUAAUUAUUCAAAGUGUAAUACAAUCAUCUUUGGCCAUUCCACUCUUACUUCCCUUAACAUUUUUUCCAAGUGUGUGUGCUUGGCAUGUUUAGGGAGUAAUCUAGGCUUACUUGGCAACUCACACGCUAAGGUCGCUCAAGUGCCGCACGGGAACUUGCUGCGCAAAACUAUCACCCCAUGACAGCGCGGCACCAUCGCGCAGAGACAUCGCUGGGCGCGAUGGUACCGCGCGCUGGCUUGCUUGCUGCCCGCGAUGGUGCCGCGCGCUGGCUUGCUUGCUGCGCGCGAUGGUGCGGUGCGGUGGCUUGCUUGCUGCGCGCGAUGUUGCCGCGCUUGCUGGGCGCGAUGGUGCCGCGCGGUGGCUUGCUUGCUGCGCGCGAUGGUGCCGCGCGGUGGCUUGCUUGCUGCGCACGAUGGUGCGGCGCGGUGGCUUGCUUGCUGCACGCGAUGGUGCCGCGCGCUGGCUUGCUUGCUGCGCGCGAUGGUGCCGCACGCUGGUUUGCUUGCUGCGCGCUUGUUGCGCGCGAUGGUGCCGCGCGUGAUCGCGAUGUCUCUGCGCGAUGGUGCCGCGCUGUCAUGGGGUGAUAGUUUUGCGCAGCAAGUUCCCUGCGGCACUUGAGCGACCUUAGCGUGUGAGUCGCCAAGUAAGCCUAGAUUACUCCCUAAACAUGCCAAGCACACACACUUGGAGAAAAUGUUAAGGGAAGUAAGAGUGGAAUGGCCAAAGAUGAUUGUAUUACACUUUGAAUAAUUACAAGAGUGUUUGUACAAGAGAGCUUGAGAGCUAGUGUGCUAGGUGUGUUGUGUGGGUGUGUUGGUGGCUGUGUGAAUGAUGGGUGUUCACCCAUAUUUAUAGGGGGUGGAAUGCCUAAUUCUAGAGAAUUCUAUUACAAGUGGCAAAACACUAAGGGACCCAAGUGGUGAGUCCUAGAAAGUUCUAGUGAAUGGAUAAUAUGUAGAGAGUUCUAGACCCUUGGGCCUUGGUUGACUUUGGGCCUUGGUGGGGGUUUUGCUAAGUGCACCCCAGCUAGUUAGUUGUCUUGGUGGCCCAAUUUCUAAGUUAACCCCCACUUCUAAGUGUAUCCACCUUGAGUGCCAAGCGAGCCCGUGACAAUCCUCCCCCACCUAUGUUCGCGGCGUCCUCGUCGCGUUGUUGUGUUUGUAGAGCUGCACAUGUUCUGCGAAUUGCCAUAGAUCGUCUUCGCGCUCCCAUGUUGCUUCGCUCUCGGGGAUGUUCUUCCAUUUCACAAAGUACUCGUAGUAAGCCGGUAUGCCCCGUCUUCGAAUUACUCAAUCCGCAAGAAUGUACUCCAUGUCCUUGUCAAUAGCGGUGACAACGGCGGUUGGGGCAUGCCUUGACUUGCCUCGGCUUGGAUCUCCCGCGUCUCCGUGAUAUGGCUUGAGCAAGCUCACGUGGAUGACCGGGUAGAUCUUGAGUCUUGGUGGAAGUUGGAGUUGGUAGGAGACCUUGCCCACGCGUUGAACUACUUCGAAAGGCCCUUCAUAUCGCCUCACUAACCCUUUGUGGACUUUUCGCAACGUCUUGAACUGUUGGGGUAGGAGCUUCACCAUCACUUGGUCGCCUUCCUUGUACUCGACGUGGCGUCUCCUUGAGUCAGCCCACUUUUUCAUUCUCCGAGCGGCCCUGUCGAGGUAUGCUCGCGUGAUAUCCGCUUCUUCAUGCCAUUCGCGAGCGAGUUUGUGGGCUACUGGGCUCUUUCCUUCAUAGGUCGAGGCUAUGGCAUUGGGCGUCGUCGGCUGAAAUCCCAUGAUGAUCUCGAAUGGACUCUUGCCUGUAGCCUCGCUCCGUUGUAGGUUGUAUGAGAAUUGGGCAACGUCCAGCAACUUCGCCCAAUCUCGCUGGUGAGCGCUCAGAUAAUGCCUAAGAUACAUCUCGAGUAGGCUAUUUAUGCGCUCGGUUUGUCCAUCCGUUUGUGGAUGGAAGCUUGUUGAGAACUUGAGGUCGGUUCCCAGCAUCUUGAAGAGCUCCGUCCAAAAGCGUCCAGUGAAGCGUGGAUCCCGGUCGCUCACAAUGCUUUUUGGAACUCCCCAAAGUUUGAUGAUGUGCUUGACAAAUAGGCGGGCAGCCUCAUCCGCUUUGCAAUCGGUCGGUGCGGCGAUGAAAGUCGCAUACUUGCUAUAGCGGUCGACUACCACCAUGAUGCUUCCGCACCCCUCGGACUUGGGUAGGGCCGAGAUAAAGUCCAUGGUGACACUCUCCCAUGGUCUUGAUGCUGUUGGUAAAGGCUCCAAUAGUCCCGCCGGAAGUUGGCGAUCCGCCUUGUCUUGUUGGCACACGAGACAUGUCCGCACGUAGGCCUCAAUGUCAUUCCUCAUGUGUGGCCAAAAGUAGGAGGCUUGGACGAGUGCGGUCGUGCGCUCUACUCCAGGGUGGCCAGCCCACUUCGAGUCAUGGCACUCCUUGAUCACCUCUCGCCACAAAUUUCCCCACCUCGGCACAAAUAGUCGGUCUCCCUUGGUGAGGAGGAUGCCUUCCUCUUGCCAAAAUCGCCUCGUCUUCCCUUCAAGCACUUUCCCCAACAAGUCUUUCGCCAACGGAUCUUGUUGGAGGCCUUCCUUGAUGCGCAUGACGAGAUCGGACUUUGGCUGGCUCAUGCUAAGUGUAACCAAUUCCGCUUUGCGGCUUAGAGCAUCCGCAACUUCUGAUCUUGUACUCGAGCCUAUAAUCAAAUUCUGCAAGAAAGUCUUGCCACCUUGCUUGCUUGGGGCUCAACUUCUUUUGUGUUUGGAAGUAGCUCGUGGCUACGUUGUCCGUCAAGAUCACGAAGUGUGAGCCAAGCAAGUAGUGUCGCCACACUCGUAGGCAAUGCACAAUGGCUGUCAUCUCCUUCUCUUGCACGAUGUAGCGGCGUUCCGUGUCGUUGAGCUUCCGACUCUCGAAUGCUAUGGGGUGACCUUCUUGCAUGAGUACUCCGCCUAUGGCAAAGUCGGAGGCAUCCGUUUGAACCUCAAAUGGCUUUGUAUGGUCUGGAAGUGCAAGGACGGGCUGUUCGGAGAUAGCCUUCCUCAAUUCCCCGAAAGCGCGUUGGCAUUCCUUGGACCAAUGCCACGUGCAGUUCUUCUUCAGCAGCUCGGUCAAGGGUGCCGCUUUAGCUGAAUACCCUUUGAUGAAGCGGCGGUAAUAGUUCACCAACCCAAGGAAAGACCGGAGUUCGGGUACAUUGGUAGGAGGUUGCCACUCAAGUAUAGCCUUUACUUUCGAGUCCUCCAUCAUGAGUUUCCCGUCCGCUAUCUUGUGGCCAAGAAACUCCACCUCUCGUUGGGCAAACGAGCACUUCUCCAGCUUGAGGUAGAGUUCAUUGUUGCGUAGUACUUGGAGAACUUGCCGUAAGUGUUGGGCAUGUUCCUGGAGUGUGGUGCUGUACACCACAAUGUCAUCCAAGUACACCACAAGAAAGCGGUCGAGAAACGGUUGGAGGACUUUGUUCAUGAGAGUGCAGAAUGUCGCCGGUGCAUUGGUGAGACCAAACGGCAUAACAAGAAAUUCGAAAGAGCCAUACCUGGUCACGCACGUCGUCUUUGGUUCGUCACCCUUGGUGAUGCACACUUGGUAGUACCCGGACCAUAGGUCGAGCUUGGUGAAGUACCACGCGCUGCCGAGUUGAUCGAACAAGUCCGUAAUCAAGGGGAUCGGAUACUUGUUCUUGAUUGUAAUCUUGUUGAGCGCUCGAUAGUCGAUGCACAUGCGUAGAGAUCCAUCCUUCUUCUUUUGAAAGAGCACUGGUGCACCGAAUGGGGCCUUGGAAGGGCGGAUGUAGCCCGCGUCGAGCAAGUCUUUGAGUUGCCUCCGCAACUCUUCUAACUCGGGUGGCGCCAUGCGGUAAGGCGCUAAGGCUGGCGGCUUCGCGCCUUGCUCUAGCUCAAUCUCAUGUUCCACCUCUCGACUUGGUGGGAGCUUCUUCGGGAGCUUCGGAGGCAUGACGUCCUUGAACUCGUCGAGGACGGCUUGAAUGAGUGGAGGAGGUUGGCUUGACAAGUCUUCUCGACCUUCUUCAUUAUUCACCUCCCGGAUGGAAACCAAGAAGCUAGGGUCCUUCCGAAAAGCCUUUAUGAACUGCAUGGCGGAGAGCGCCUUAUCCGCGGUCUUCGAGCGCUCGGCUGGAACCAUGCACGCCAUACUCCCAUCAAGGAUGCUUAGGGAGUUCGUGGCCGGCAGUGGAAACGCAUGGACUCGGUCGAAGAACUCCAUGCCAAGGACCAUCUUGAAGUCGUCCAUGGGCACGAUCGAGAAGUCGAGCUUUCCGCUCCACGUUCCAAGAGUAACGCGCACUUCUUGUGUGGUGCCCGCAAUGGGCUUGGCGGUUGAGUUUACCGCCUUCAUUGUGCCUCCAUCCUUUGUCACCUUUAGGCCUAGGCGCUUAGCCUCUUCUUCCGAGAUGAAGUUGUGGGUGGCUCCGGUGUCGAGCAAUGCCCGAACAGCUUGCCCAUUAACUGUGGCGUUCACAUACAUGAGCCCUUUCCUCAUGGCUGUGGGUGGAUGGCUUUCAAGCGCUCCAAGGCGUUUGAGGGAACCCACUCUAGGUUGGGGUUCUUCCGGUGUUGAUGGAGAGUCGCCCUUGAGCUGAGCGGCGAGGGUGCUAAGCGACUUUUUCUCCAGACAGUCGCGCACCCAAUGAGGGCCAUUACAAAUGAAACAUGGGCUUCGAGGCUUUGGCGGCUGCUGUUUUUCUGUCUUGCCUUGCCCGCUCUUGCCGCUUGGAGGCUUUUUCUGUCCCCAUUCCUUGCGGUUGCGGCCUUUGUCCUUUCAGCCCUCUCCCCCACCUUUGCCAUGGCUAGGCCUCUUGUCUUUGGGCUGGGCGGAGUAAUCGGAGAGUGAUUCCGCAAUGGCAAUGGCGUCGUCGAGAGUUUGCACGCCACGCCUAUCAAGCUCCGUCUUGGCCCAAUCUUUAAGGCCGUCUUGAAAGUAGAAGAGAGAGUCCUUAUCGGACAUGUCGGAAAUCUCAAGCAUAAGGGUGGUGAAGUCGUUGAUGUAAUCGCGGACGCUACCCGUUUGCUUGAGCCGACGUAACCGCGCUCGUGCUUCCUUCUCCGCAUUGCUUGGGGCAAAAUGCUUGCGAAGUUCCUGCUGAAAUUCGGCCCAUGUGCUGACGGCGCAAAUGCCCUUGCCCAUCUCACCGUGUUUCCGCCGCCACCAUAGUUGCGCGGAGCCUCGGAGGAAUGUAGGCGCGGUGCCUACCUUUGACGCAUCAUCUCGGACACCCAUCGCGUCAAAAUAUUGUUCUAGCCCAAACAGGAAGUUAUCCACCACAAUGGCGUUGCGCGCACCAUCGUAAGUAUCGGGCUUGGGCACGUCAAUGCGGCACGCAUCACUCGAGCUUGCGGGAACCGCAGCCGGGCUAGGCGUGAGUGUGCGCUUGUGCCAAGCCCAAUCUGAGCGGACCUCGUCAACCUCCGCAUGGACUGCACGCAACUCAUUUUGCACAAAGGUACGCAAACUGAGGAGCUCGUCAUGGAACGCUCGAAACUCCCCUCGGAGGGAGUCGGCUUGGUCUUGCAUGAGGGCUUUGGUGGCUACUGUGAAUUCGCCAUAUUCACCCUCAAGGCCAUCGACUCGCUCCUCUAAUGUAUUGAGGGUGUCUUGGACAGCGGCCAUUGACGUUUCGAGCGUGGCAACACAAGGUUCCAAUGCAUCCAUAGAAGGGGCUUUGGACUUACCUCGGGACUUUGGCUGUCCGCGUCCUCCCUCCUCGCGGCCACGAGCUUGCUCCUGUACCUCCGCACCGAGUGCGCCCUCUUGCAAUGUGCUGGAAGGAUUGGCCAUCGUCUAUGAGCUAGUUUGCGUGUGGGUGCAAACUGUAGCUCUGAUACCACUUGUCACGGGGUGAUAGUUUUGCGCAGCAAGUUCCCGUGCGGCACUUGAGCGACCUUAGCGUGUGAGUCGCCAAGUAAGCCUAGAUUACUCCCUAAACAAGCCAAGCACACACACUUGGAGAAAAUGUUAAGGGAAGUAAGAGUGGAAUGGCCAAAGAUGAUUGUAUUACACUUUGAAUAAUUACAAGAGUGUUUGUACAAGAGAGCUUGAGAGCUAGUGUGCUAGGUGUGUUGUGUGGGUGUGUUGGUGGCUGUGUGAAUGAUGGGUGUUCACCCAUAUUUAUAGGGGGUGGAAUGCCUAAUUCUAGAGAAUUCUAUUACAAGUGGCAAAACACUAAGGGACCCAAGUGGUGAGUCCUAGAAAGUUCUAGUGAAUGGAUAAUAUGUAGAGAGUUCUAGACCCUUGGGCCUUGGUUGACUUUGGGCCUUGGUGGGGGUUUUGCUAAGUGCACCCCAGCUAGUUAGUUGUCUUGGUGGCCCAAUUUCUAAGUUAACCCCCACAUCUAAGUGUAUCCACCUUGAGUGCCAAGCGAGCCCGUGACAGCGCGCUGGCUUACUUGCUGCGCGCGAUGGUGCCGCGCUUGCUUAGCGCGUUGGUGCCGCGCGCUGGCUUGCUUGCUGCGCACGAUGUUACCGCGCUUGCUGGGCGCGAUGGUGCCGUGCGCUGGCUUGCUUGCUGCGCGCGAUGGUGCCGCGCGCUGGCUUGCUUGCUGCGCGCGAUGGUGCCGCGCGCUGGCGCGCUUGCUGCGCGCGAUGGUGUUGCGAGCAAUAUCUCUGUCUCUGCACGAUGGUGCCGCGCGCUGGGGCGCUUGCUGCCAGCGAUGGUGCCGCGCGCUGGGGCGCUUGCUGCGAGCGAUGGUGCCGCGCGCGAUCGCGCUUUCUGCGCGCGAUGGUGCUGCGCGCAGGUGCCGCGCGAUGGGGCCGCGCGCUUGCGCGCUGUUGUCGCGCGAUGGUGCCGCGCGCUUGCGCGCUGUUGGCGCGCGAUGGUGGCACGCGUUGGCGCGCUGGUGCUGCGCGAUGGUGCCGCGCGCUUGCGCGCUGUUGCCGCGCGAUGCUGUCGCGCGCUGGUACUGCACGAUGGUGCCGUGCGCUGGCGCGCUGGCUGCGCGCUUCCGCUGGUCAUUUCUCGCACGAAGGGAGGUUAGCUGUGCGGGAAAUGGCCUGCCAGUACCCAUGUGCCGAUGCGGCUAAAAAUACCUCUUUUUGCACUCCAAUUUUUUUUCUCCUUCUCUUGAAAAAUUCUUCAUAUUUUUCUUGACCAUGAUGGAAAAAAUCAGACCAAAAUUCAAU
rnacentral:lncRNA from 1 species